rnacentral:rRNA from 1 species
UCUUUGUGAAAAAAAUUUAAAGUCUGGUCUGCCCACUGAAUUUAAUUGAAGGGCUGCAGUAUUUUGACUGUACAAAGGUAGCAUAAUCAAUAGUUUUUUAAUUGGAAACUUGUAUGAAUGAUUUAAUGAAAAAUUUUUUUUUAUGAAUUUUUAUUUUUAAUUUAAAUUUUAAGUCAAAAUGCUUAAAUAUUUAUAAGGGACGAGAAGACCCUAUAGAUUUUUAUUUUUUAAAAAAUUAAAGUAAAAAGUAUUUAUUAGUUUAAUUUAAAAAAAAAUUUGAUUGGGGUGAUUUAGUAAUUUAAAUAACUUAAUUAUGUAAGACAACUUUUUUUAGAUAUUUUUGAUCCAUUUUUAGUGAUAGUUAGAUUAAAUUACCUUAGGGAUAACAGCGUAAUUUUAUUUUGAAGUUCAUAUUUAUAAUAAGGUUUGCGACCUCGAUGUUGAAUUAAGAUUAUUAAUAAGAGCAAAAACUAUUUAAAUUAGUCUGUUCGACUAUUAAAUUCU